rnacentral:rRNA from 1 species
GAUCCUGGCUCAGGAUGAACGCUAGCUACAGGCUUAACACAUGCAAGUCGAGGGGCAGCAUCAUCAAAGCUUGCUUUGAUGGAUGGCGACCGGCGCACGGGUGAGUAACACGUAUCCAACCUGCCGACAACUCUGGGAUAGCCUUUCGAAAGAAAGAUUAAUACCGGAUGGCAUAGUUUUCCCGCAUGGGAUGACUAUUAAAGAAUUUCGGUUGUCGAUGGGGAUGCGUUCCA